rnacentral:lncRNA from 1 species
GCGCCUAUCCGAAUACGAGGGGUGGAGCCAUCGUCAGCUGCGGUACGGGAAGUCGUAGGGCACAAUUUCCUCCAUCCUGGACGCACGACGGGUGUGCGACGCGCGUAACCCAGAAGUGAAAGGCCGUUUCCUUCGGUUCUGCCCUCUCGGCUUUCUGGUGACCUUACUGCCGUUACUGCUGUGGCCGCUUAUGUCCGACCCUCCUUGCCUAGCCUGCGUUUUACCACAACUCCCUACGGGGUCCAACUCCAUCCUGGCCGCCCUUUCCCUAAAGAACUUUACUCUACGGGUCCCCAUCAGGGCCAAGUGACAUUCUUCGCGGAGGGAAACGCUCCUGGAACUUAACUGCUCCCGAAGCCUAUCGCAGCCAGGCCGGCGCCUGCGCAGGGCGUUACCAUAGAGAAGCAGCCGCCUCUCUGGUCUCGGUUAAUAUUCUCUAUGGUCCAGCCGGGUCGUGGCGGUAAGGGGAAAAAAGGGAGACCUCACUGCGCAGGCGCGCUGGGCUUCUAAUUUUUUUUUUUUUUU